rnacentral:rRNA from 1 species
AGUGAACGCUGGCGGUAGGCCUAACACAUGCAAGUCGAACGGCAGCACAGUAAGAGCUUGCUCUUACGGGUGGCGAGUGGCGGACGGGUGAGGAAUACAUCGGAAUCUACUUUUUCGUGGGGGAUAACGUAGGGAAACUUACGCUAAUACCGCAUACGACCUACGGGUGAAAGCAGGGGAUCUUCGGACCUUGCGCGAUUGAAUGAGCCGAUGUCGGAUUAGCUAGUUGGCGGGGUAAAGGCCCACCAAGGCGACGAUCCGUAGCUGGUCUGAGAGGAUGAUCAGCACCACGGGAACUGAGACACGGUCCAGACCCCGACGGGAGGCAGCAGUGGGGAAUAUUGGACAAUGGGCGCAAGCCUGAUCCAGCCAUACCGCGUGGGUGAAGAAGGCCUUCGGGUUGUAAAGCCCUUUUGUUGGGAAAGAAAAGCAGCAGGUUAAUACCCCGCUGUUCUGACGGUACCCAAAGAAUAAGCACCGGCUAACUUCGU